GGAAUUUCCCGGGAAUUUCCCAGGGUAUUUCCCUGAAUUUUCAGGGGGAUUUUCUCAGGAUUUUCCUGGGAAUUUUCCCGGAUUUUUCCCGGGAAUUCCCUGAAUUUCCCGGGGAAUUUUCCCGGAAUUUUCCCGGGAAUUCCCUGAAUUUCCCGGGGAAUUUUCCCGGAAUUUUCCCGGGAAUUCCCUGAAUUUCCCGCCUUUUCCCGUCGGAAUCGGCGGCGGCGGCGGCGGCGUCGCGGCUCAGCGCCUCCAGCUCCAGCUCGGACUCGAGCAGCUCUUCCUCUUCCUCCUCCUCCUCCGACACCAGCGACUCCGAGUCCGGAUAAUUCCUGGGGAAAAGGCGGAAUUCCUGGGGAAAAUACGGGAUUUCUUGGGAGAGAAGAGAGAAUUCCUGGGGGAAAAGAGAGAAUUCCUGGGGGAAAAGAGAGAAUUCCUGGGGGAAAUGUGGAAUUUUUGGGAAAAAAUGUGGAAUUCUUGGGAAAAAACAGAGAAUUCCUGGGAAAAAGAGAGAAUUCCUGGGAAAAAGAGAGAAUUCCUGGGGAAAAAUGUGGAAUUUUUGGGAAAAAAUGUGGUAUUUUUGGGAAAAACAGAGAAUUCCUGGGAAAAAUGAGAGAAUUCCUGGGGGAAAUGUGGAAUUUUGGGAGAAAACAGAAAAUUCCUGGAGAAAAACGCAGAAUUCCUGGGGGAAAUGUGGAAUUUUUGGGAUAUAAACGUGGAAUUCUUGAGAAGAAAUGUGGAAUUCCUGGGAAAAAAUGAGAGAAUUCCUGGGGAAAAUGAGAGAAUUCCUGGGGAAAAUGUGGAAUUUUUGGGAAAAAAUGUGGAAUUUCUGGGAAAAAGAGAGAAUUCCUGGGGAAAAGAGAGAAUUCCUGGGGAAAAUGUGGAAUUUUUGGGAGAAAAUGUGGAAUUUCUGGGAAAAAACGCAGAAUUCCUGGGAAAAAUGUGGAAUUUUUGGGAAAGAAUGAGAAGUUCUUGGGAGAAAACAGAAAAUUCCUGGGGAAGAAGAGAAAAUUCUUGAGAAAAAAUGUGGAAUUCUUGGGAAAAACGAGAAAUUCCUGGGGAAAAAUGUGGAAUUCUUGGGAGAAAACAGAGAAUUCC
rnacentral:lncRNA from 1 species